GCCGAAGUGGUGGAAUUGGUAGACACGCUAUCUUGAGGGGGUAGUGACCAUCGGUCGUGCCGGUUCAAGUCCGGCCUUCGGCACCA
rnacentral:tRNA from 1 species